UACGUAGGGUGCAAGCGUUAAUCGGAAUUACUGGGCGUAAAGCGUGCGCAGACGGUGAUGUAAGACAGUUGUGAAAUCCCCGGGCUCAACCUGGGAACUGCAUCUGUGACUGCAUCGCUGGAGUGCGGCAGAGGGGGAUGGAAUUCCGCGUGUAGCAGUGAAAUGCGUAGAUAUGCGGAGGAACACCGAUGGCGAAGGCAAUCCCCUGGACCUGUACUGACGCUCAUGCACGAAAGCGUGGGGAGCAAACAGG
rnacentral:rRNA from 1 species